rnacentral:rRNA from 1 species
AGCGAACGCUGGCGGCAGGCCUAACACAUGCAAGUCGAGCGCCCGUAGCAAUACGGGAGCGGCAGACGGGAGAGUAACACGUGGGAACGUACCCUUCAGUUCGGAACAACCCAGGGAAACUUGGGCUAAUACCGAAUACGUCCGUAAGGAGAAAGAUUUAUCGCUGAAGGAUCGGCCCGCGUCUGAUUAGCUAGUUGGUGAGGUAACGGCUCACCAAGGCGACGAUCAGUAGCUGGCUGAGAGGAUGAUCAGCCUCACUGGGACUGAGACACGGCCCAGACUCCUACGGGAGGCAGCAGUGGGGAAUAUUGGACAAUGGGCGCAAGCCUGAUCCAGCCAUGCCGCGUGGAUGAUGAAGG